ensembl:misc_RNA Metazoa_SRP Metazoan signal recognition particle RNA
GCCGGGUGUGGUGGUGCUCACCUGUGAUCCCAGCUACUCAGGAGGCUGAGGCAGGAGAAUCACUUGAACCCGGGAGGCGGAGGUUGCAGUGAGCCAAGAUAGCGCCACUGCACUCCAGCCUGGGCAACAGAGUGAGACUCUGUCUCAA